rnacentral:rRNA from 1 species
AUGUGGCAUGGAGAGAGAAGCACAAACACACGUAACAUCACAGUUCCAAAAUUUGGUCUCUGCUGCAAGGAAGGGAAAAUUAAAUUACCACCACUGAAGCAAGCUCCGUUGUAUCUCCGACAGCUACUACGUUACAAUGAAAGAGGAGAGUCAUCCAAUUUUCGCCAGAACAUCAGGUUGUACAACUCCAUGUUCGCGUUCACUUCAAUGGGAGGAAAGGUUGACUAUGAAAUUAAUAAGCAGACACCUGGACCAUAUGUUUUCCGUUUGAAUGGCCAAAACAACCAUCACAUUGGCACUUUACUUCCUAAAGAUGACAUGACGAAACCAAAAUUUGCCCAAUUGUACAUACAUGACACAGAAAAUGAAGUGCGUAACAGGAUUACUGCAUCAACUUCAAUGGAGAGUAAGGCAAAGCCAGAUGAAAACAUUGUCAAAGGUCUACUAGAGAUGCUAGAUGAGCACAAUGUUUUAGUCAAAUCGUUUCGUAUGGCAAGGGACAGGUUCAAAAACCGAGAUAUUAAAGAUGUAAGACUAAGAUUGAUCAACAAAAGGUCGAAAGAUGGACGACAAUACAACCUCCCAUCUGCCUCAGAAGUUGCAGCACUAAUUAUCGGGGAACAAGAUGGAGAAAAUGAUGAAUUUGAUAUAAUAAUUGAGACCAAAGACAGAAUGUUACAGAGGAUUUCGGAGUUGCACCCAAGCUAUAUGUCAAUGAAAUACCCCUUGCUUUUUCCAUAUGGAGAAGAUGGGUUCAGACCAGAAAUAGAGUAUCAAAAAAAGAGAGGCGACAAAGGUAAGAGAAAGUAUGUAACAAUGCUGGAGUUUUAUGCAUAUCGCAUCCAACAACGUCUUAACCAAGCAACAACCUUGCAAAUGAGUGGACACUUGUUCCUACAGUUCUUAGUUGAUGCAGCAACGUGCAUUGAACAAUGGAAACUAAAUUGGUACAGCACAAACCAAGGUAAGCUGAGGACAGAACUAUACAGAGGACUGCAUGAUGCAAUAGAAAAUGGAGAUACACGAACUGAACAAGUUGGCCAAAGAAUCAUACUACCCUCAACAUAUAAUGGUAGCCCUAGAAAUAAGCAGCAAAACUACCAAGAUGCCAUGGCGAUUUGUCGUUGGGCUGGCUAUCCUGAUCUCUUCAUCACUUUUACAUGCAAUCCGAAAUGGCCGGAAAUACAGGAUAUGUUGGAUCUAAUUCCAGGCCAGAAACCUGAAGAUUGUCCAGACAUUGUUGCCAGAGUAUUCAUGUUAAAACUGAAGGAACUUAUGAAUGACAUAAAGAACAAGAAGUGUUUCGGACAAACAAUUGCGAGUAACUUUACCAACCAACUACAGAUUUACUAUUGCCUAGGUGAUUGUCCUAAAUCAUUUCUUCUCAAAUUUCUUUACUUGCAUGCAGUUGUCUACACGAUAGAGUUCCAAAAAAGAGGCCUCCCUCAUGCACAUAUACUGGUGUUUCUACAUCCAGAUGAUAAAGAUCCCAGUCCUUCCCAGAUCGACAAAAUCAUAUCAGCCGAAAUUCCCGACAAGAAUAGUGAUCCAGAUGGGUAUGAAGCAGUGCAAAAUUACAUGAUACAUGGUCCCUGUGGUCAAGCACACCCAAAAUCACCAUGCAUGGUCGAUAAAAGUUGUGCCAAACAUUUCCCCAAGAGUUUUUGCACUGAAACUACAAUAGAUGAAGAUAACUAUCCAGUAUAUAGAAGACGAGAUGAUGGCAAUACUGUGGACAAAAACGGAGUGAAGCUAGACAAUAGAUUUGUUGUGCCAUACAAUAGAAACAUACUGGUCAAGUAUCAAGCCCACAUAAAUGUUGAAUGGUGCAACAGAUCAAGGUCUAUAAAGUAUUUAUUCAAAUACAUCCACAAAGGAGAAGAUCGAACAACUGUAUUAAUAGAAACAGAAGAGCAACAAAGAGAAACAAGAGGUGUCAAAUUAACAAACAGGGACGACGAUAUCAAGAGAUACCUUGAUGCUCGGUACAUAUCUGGAUGUGAAGCCGCAUGGUACAUAUUUCAGUUUCCUCUUCAGUAUAGAGAGCCUGCGGUUGAAAGGUUACAAUUUCACCUAGAAAAUGAACAUGUUGUGGUAUUCCCAGACUCGAUGGAUUUAGAUAAAAUCAUAUCUCGGCCUAACAUAGAAAAGACAAUGUUCACAGAAUGGAUGACAGCCAACCAAUUGCAUGAGGAAGCUCGCAGUUUGACGUAUGCACAGUUUCCAACCAAAUGGACUUGGCAUGCAAAAGAGAAAGAAUGGAGGAAAAGACGUGGUGGUAAAAAAACAAUAGGCAGGAUUUACUAUGCACAACCAACAAGCGGUGAAAAAUACUACUUGAGAAUGCUUCUAAAUACCGUGAAAGGAUGCAGAUCCUAUGAAGAAACCCGAACAGUUGAUGGGGUUGUACAUCCAACAUACAAAUCUGCAUGUUAUGCUCUUGGGCUACUUAAUGACGACAAGGAGUGGGAUGACUGCAUCAAGGAAGCAUCCCAUUGGGCCUCUGCUCCUCAAAUGCGCCAACUUUUCUGCACAAUACUUUUAUUUUGCAAGGUGACUGAUCUUCGAUUCACAAAUGAGGAUGCCGAGCAUAGACCGUUUGGAGGAAUGACAGUAGUCUUGGGAGGUGACUUCAGACAAAUCAGAAAAUAUGCGUCUGAAUUCAUCCGAAGGUAG